rnacentral:rRNA from 1 species
GAUGAACGCUGGCGGCGUGCCUAAUACAUGCAAGUCGAGCGAACGGACGAGAAGCUUGCUUCUCUGAUGUUAGCGGCGGACGGGUGAGUAACACGUGGAUAACCUACCUAUAAGACUGGGAUAACUUCGGGAAACCGGAGCUAAUACCGGAUGAUAUUUUGAACCGCAUGGUUCAAAAGUGAAUGACGGUCUUGCUGUCACUUAUAGAUGGAUCCGCGCUGCAUUAGCUAGUUGGUAAGGUAACGGCUUACCAAGGCAACGAUGCAUAGCCGACCUGAGAGAGUGAUCGGCCACACUGGAACUGAGACACGGUCCAGACUCCUACGGGAGGCAGCAGUAGGGUAUCUUCCGCAGUGGGCGAAAGCCUGACGGAGCAACGCCGCGUGAGUGAUGAAGGUCUUCGGAUCGUAAAACUCUGUUAUUAGGGAAGAACAUAUGUGUAAGUAACUGUGCACAUCUUGACGGUACCUAAUCAGAAAGCCACGGCUAACUACGUG